rnacentral:rRNA from 1 species
GACGAACCGUGCAAACGUUGUUCGGAAUCACUGGGCUUAAAGGGCGCGUAGGCGGGCAAGCAAGUCGAAGGUGAAAUCCCACGGCUCAACCGUGGAAGUGCCCCCGAUACUGCUUGUCUUGAGGGAGAUAGGGGCGUGCGGAACUUCCGGUGGAGCGGUGAGAUGCGUAGAUAUCAGGAGGAACACCGGUGGCGAAGGCGGUUCUCUGGGCAUUACCUGACGCUGAGGAGCGAAAGUGUGGGGAGCGAACAGG